GUCCUAGCCCUAAACGAUGGAUGCUUGGUGUAGCGGGUACCCAAUCCCGCUGUGCCGUAGUUAACGCGAUAAGCAUCCCGCCUGGGGAGUACGGUCGCAAGGCUGAAACUCAAAAGGAAUUGACGGGGGCCCGCACAAGCGGUGGAGCAUGUGGUUCAAUUCGACGCAACGCGAAGAACCUUACCUGGGCUCGAAGCGCAGUGGACCGGGGUAGAAAUAUCCCUUUCCGCAAGGACUGCUGCGGAGGUGCUGCAUGGCUGUCGU
rnacentral:rRNA from 1 species